AACAGUAUAAAAAUUAAGCGGAAUAGGGUUUUGUUUCAAAGAUACUGAAAAAAAUGAAAUUGUUCCAUAGAGAAAUUGCAAAAUCAUGCAGAUAAGGCUUUAUGACUCAGCUGAUAGGCAUUCAUACAGCAGCAAAUAUGGAGCAGCAAUUAAAAAUACAUAGUUCCAUCCUCCAUUUGCAAAUACACCAUAUGCUCUUAGCAAUAACAUCGUACAGGAAAUACAGGAUCCAUUACUUUGACUUGAAAAGAGGGUUCAAAGCUUGAAGCUGACCACUGCAAAGGCCACUUGUCACAUUUACUGAAAAUCAACCUAUUGAUAUCACAGCUGAAAAUAUAAACUCGACAACCAAAGCCCAUUGCACAACGUGGACUGCGUAAGAGUUAAAAAUAGAUUUGACGUGCCUCCUACCUGCAUAAUAAAUAUUCCAUCAAAAUCCUGAGCAGUAUUGACAAACCACACGAGCACCGGGUCUGACUGCAUGAUCAGCUGUCUGUGUCUACGCUACACCC